AUGAAUGAGGAGUACGACAUGAUCGUGCUGAGCACUGACCUGACGGAAUGCAUCCUGUCAGGUAUAAUGUCAGUGAAUGGCAAGAAAAUUCUUCACAUGGAUCGGAACCCAUAUUAUGGAGGAGAGAGUGGAUCUAUAACACCAUUGGAAGAUUUAUACAAAAGAUUUAAAUUACCAGGAACACCACCAGCAUCAAUGGGGAGAGGAAGAGACUGUAAUGUUGACUUGAUUCCCAAGUUCCUUAUGGCUAAUGGUCAGCUGGUUAAGAUGCUGCUUUAUACAGAGGUCACCUGCUAUCUGGAUUUCAAAGUGAUUGAAGGGAGCUUUGUCUAUAAGGGUGGAAAAAUCUACAAGGCUCCUUCUACUGAAGCAGAAGCUCUGGCAUCUAGUUUAAUGGGACUGUUUGAAUAAUGCAGCUUCAGGAAAUUCCUAGUGUAUGUGGCCAACUUUGAUGAAAAAGAUACCAGAACUUUUGAGGGCAUUGAUCCUAAGAAGACCACAAUGCACGAUGUGUAUAAGAAAUUUGACUUGGGCCAAGAUGUUAUAGAUUUUACUGGUCAUGCUCUUGCACUUUACAGAACUGAUGACUACUUAGAUCAACCAUGUUGUGAAACCAUUAAUAGAAUUAAACUUUACAGUGAGUCUUUGGCAAGAUAUGGCAAAAGCCCAUACCUGUAUCGGCUCUAUGGCCUUGAAGAACUGCCACAGGGAUUUGUGAGGCUAAGUGCUAUUUAUGGAGGUACCUACAUGCUGAAUAAACCAAUUGAAGAAAUCAUUGUCCAGAAUGGAAAAGUGAUUGGUGUAAAAUCUGAGGGAGAAAUUGCUCACUGUAAGCAGCUCAUCUGCACCCCCAGCUAUGUGAAAGAACGGGUGGAGAAAGUGGGCCAGGUGAUCAGAGUGAUCCGCAUCCUCAGUCACCCCAUCAAGAACACCAACGACGCCAACUCCUGCCAGAUCAUUAUUCCACAGAACCAAGUCAAUUGAAAGUCAGACAUCUAUGUCUGCAAGAUAUCCUCUGCACACAAUGUGGGGAAGUACAUUGCCAUAGUUAGCACAACUGUGGAAACCAAGGAGCCCGAGAAGGAAAUCAGAUCAGCUCCGGAGCUCUUAGAACCAAUUGGACAUAAGUUUGUUAGCAUCAGUGACCUCCUUGUACCAACAGAUUUGGGAACAGAAAGCCAGAUCUUUAUUUCCCACACAUAUGAUGCUACAACUCACUUUGAGACAACCUGCGAUGACAUUAAAGACAUCUAUGAGAAGAUGACAGGAUCAGAGUUUGACUUUGAGGAAAUGAAGGGCAAGAAAAUUGACAUCUAUGGGGAAGACUAA